rnacentral:tRNA from 1 species
GCGGGGGUAGCCAAGUCAGGUCAAAGGCGCCAGACUCAAGAUCUGGCCUCGAAGGAGUUCGGGGGUUCGAAUCCCCUCCCCCGCACCA